rnacentral:lncRNA from 1 species
UGCUGUAGCCGCUUCCGCCAUAGCCAUCAUCGUUGCUGCUUGACUUCUUGUAGCCACCAUCAUAGUCGUCUGAGCUUGAUUUCUUGUAUUCGUCACCACGACCAUAGUCGCCGGUGCUGGAGUCCUUGUAAUCGCCAGACACGACAUAGUCGACGGUGCUGGAGUCCUUGUACUCGCUGCCAUAGUCGCCAGCGCUGGACUAGUUGUAGCCACCACCACUGCCACUGUAGUCAUUGUUGCCGGAUUUGUUGUAGCCGCC